GUUGGAACUAUGUAGCCCUGGCUGGCCUCCAACUCACAGAGAUCCUCUUGCCUCAGCCUCCUGAGUUCUGGGGUUAAAUUGUGCACCACCACACCCAGCCGCCUUCUUUUUCUUCUUCUUCUUCUUCUUCUUCUUCUUCUUCUUCUUCUUCUUCUUCUUCUUCUUCUUCUUCUUCUUUCUUUCUUUCUUUCUUUCUUUCUUUCUUUUUUUUUUUUGUGUGGUGAGCUCAGGUAGCCCAUGUUAACCUCAGGUCCCCAAUCCUGCCUCUAGCACUGGAAUGUUGAAAUGACAGACCUAGUUACCAUUCUAAGCUAGUGACACUGAGUUUCCUGUGGACAGAAGGGCUUCACACACAGACGACGCAUCUGGAAGUCUCUGGAAGCUCCCAGUGCCAUGGUCUUACCCAUGGUUUCCACAAGGCUGAGGAACCCAGCCUCCCUAUCUGGAGCUCCCAUCAACAUGGCCAAAGGUCAACAGGCUACGCAGAGAAGAAGAGUUUUUAUCGAUUCCCAUGGAGUGAAUUAAAAGUGAACAGUGACCGAGAAGGCAUCCGAGCACCUCUGUGGAGGGGACAGGGACACUAGACUCAGACACCAGGGGCUGUGGCCUCUGGCUCUGCCCACAAAGAUGCCCUGGACCUGCCCAGGAAUAAAAUGAGGUUGAAGUGGAAGCUUGGACUGCCCUGGCUCCCUGGUGCUCAGGGUCUGAACAGAGAGAAAGC
rnacentral:lncRNA from 1 species